AUGCUGCUUCAAAGAAAACCACAUACACAUACGUCACGGCUUCAAGGUACACCCAGCCAGCAGAGUCCAGAAUUUAUGAUGAAAUUCUCCAGUCCAAGGUGCUCCCCUCCAAGGGAAGAGCUGGUGAACACAGUUUAUUCCGAAGUGCAGUUAUCUGAUAAGAUGGGGAAAGCCAGCACACAGGACAGUAAACCUCCUGGGACUUCAAGUUACGAAAUUGUGAUCUAGGCUGCCGGGCUGAGUUUUCCCUCUGGAAACUGAAUUGCAGCCACCAAUACUGGCAGGUUCCCUGAACCCAGAUCUCCACCCAGCUCUUAGUAGGAGAAUGAAAAUUGCCAUAUUUCAACAUGGAAGCAAAGCCGGAAACCUUCUGUUACUGGGCAUAGCUUAUGCCUAAGUGGACAAAUGGAUGCAUACCCUUCCUGAAAUGGCUCCCUUCUGGAUGAAUGACGAAGCAGGCUACCUAAUAUGGUGUUUCCCAAACUUCUUCCCAUCGUAGUAUAUGUAGAAAAUAAUAUUUUUAUGGCACACUGGGGUAAACAAUCAAGAUCGCUCACAUCUGGAAGCCGCAUAUGACCAGAGGCCUCUCGUGACUGAAGGUAACAAACUGCCCAGCAACUGUGGGAGAAGGGGAUCAAUGUUUUGCACACCUGUAACAGGCCACUGGCACACCAGCCAAGAUGCUGUGCUCACCUCACCAUCAAUAUGUGUGAAGAUCCCCGGUGCAUGGCCUCCCCCAGUCCCUACCUCACAAAUCUGGAAAAGGUACCCUUCACUUGAGGCAGAUGCAGCCCUUUACCCGGGUGCAUGGCUUGGAGGGCAGAACGUGGGCUGCAUAUAAGCACACUCAUCGCUUUCUCUGGAAAUCUUUGUGCCCAGGCACAACGUGCUCAGUAACUCCAAACACAAAUGAUGAUGCUGUGUGGGUCUCUGUCAGAGUGGUGGCUCUCAGCCAUGUCAACACGCUCUCCAAAUGGAGUGUUGGAAAAUGUUCUUUCUGUAGGGUCUGGAGACUGCUGGGCAUUUUUCGUGGCGUGCUACUUCAGAAGCCUCGUAGGAUUUUCUUUCUGGCUAAGCUUUCCUUCUGUAUCACUCCAAGCAGCCUCAGCGGAAGAAGCAGUCAUGCCCGGUUUUCUCGCUUUCUGAAAGGAAUUGACCAGCUUAUAUUUCUCACACUUCUGGGGAACUGGGUGUAAUCCAACCAUCAAAACAGAAGACCUUGCAAGAAGCAGAGUCAUCCUCCAGAAGGAACUUGGGAGAUGAUGGUGCAGAUUAUGAAUCUGGGUUCAUCCCAGUUCCAAAGGCCCAGAGAACUACAGAGUUGAGGCGGAGGCAGACUGCCCCGACCCCGGCAUCUGGUAUGAACUAGAACCGUCAAAAAAAGACCUUAUGAGGGGGCAGGGCUGAAGCUGGGCCUUGAAGGAUGGAUGAAAUUUGGAUAGAGAAUGAGGAAGACGGGGACUCUCCAAGUGAAAGAAGCAUGAAAAAUGAGCAGGGGCCUGGAUCAGUGGGGUGUAUUCAGAGCACCUCUCCAGAUGCACCAUGCAUGCUCACAGUCCCUUGCCUAUGCAUAACAGGGUGGCCCAGCCAGACAAGUGCCCUUCACCCCGUGUCCAUUUACAUGCCCUUCAAUAACCACCUCAAAUGGGCGUUAUACCUCUUCUAUAAAGCCUUCCCUGGUAUCAGGAGUCAAAAUUAAUCAGGGAUCUUUUCACAUGGCUGUUUUGUCCCCUUUGAUCCUUCUAUCACUAGAACUCAUCUCAUUCUACCUUACAGCAUCAAUAAUUAUUUGUUUUCCUCACUACAUUGUACAUGUUGGAAUUGGCGAUAGACAGAAGCCGGCUGGGUGUGGUGGCCCACACCUGUAAUCCCAGCACUUUGGGAGGCCAAGGUGGGCCGAUCACCUAAGGUCAGGAGUUCAAGACCAGCUUGGCCA